UACCACCUGUCGAACUGCGGCAGUUCAAUAGGUACCCUAUCGAACUGCGGCAGUUCGAUAGGUACCCUGUCGAACCGUGGCUAUUCGACAGGGUG
rnacentral:pre_miRNA from 1 species